UGGGGAAUAUUGCACAAUGGGGGAAACCCUGAUGCAGCGACGCCGCGUGAAGGAUGAAGUAUUUCGGUACGUAAAGCUCUAUCAGCAGGGAAGAAAAUGACGGUACCUGAAGAAGAAGCCCCGGCUAACUACGUGCCAGCAGGCGCGGUAAUACGUAGGGGGCAAGCGUUAUCCGGAUUUACUGGGUGUAAAGGGAGCGUAGACGGCAAGGCAAGCCUGGAGUGAAAGGCGGGGGCCCAACCCCCGGACUGCUCUGGGAACUGUCUAGCUAGAGUGCAGGAGGGGUAAGUGGAAUUCCUAGUGUAGCGGUGAAAUGCGUAGAUAUUAGGAGGAACACCGGUGGCGAAGGCGGCCUGCUGGACUGUGACUGACGUUGAGGCCCGAAGGCGUGGGGAGCAAACAGG
rnacentral:rRNA from 1 species